AUUGAACGCUGGCGGCAGGCCUAACACAUGCAAGUCGAGCGGAGCGGCGGACGGGUGAGUAAUGCCUCGGAAUCUGCCUGGUAGUGGGGGAUAACGUCCGGAAACGGGCGCUAAUACCGCAUACUAUCAGAUGAGCCUAGGUCGGCUUAACUAGUUGGUGGGGUAAAGGCCUACCAAGGCGACGAUCCGUAACUGGUCUGAGAGGAAGAUCAGUCACACUGGAACGGAGACACGGUCCAGACUCCUACGGGAGGCAGCAGUGGGGAAUAUUGGCAAAUGGGCGAAAGCCGGAUCCAGCCAUGCCGCAUGUGGGAAGAAGGUCUUCGGAUUGUAAAGCACUUUAAGUUGGGAGGCGUUACCAACAGAAUAAGCCCCGGAUAACUUCGUGCAAGCCGCCGCGGUAAUUC
rnacentral:rRNA from 1 species